AGAUAGAGAGAGAGAGGGAGAGUGAGAGACAGAGAGCGGGACUCACUCCCACACACUGAAACAAACGCCUCAAGCCGCAUUAAACAUUUUCAUGAAUUUCGAAGCGCGUAAUACAUAAAUAAACAAGAACAACAAAAAACCAAAAA
rnacentral:sRNA from 1 species